CAGCUCGGAGGGGGAAGGAGCGGACGACGCAAUGAUUGCUCGCCUCGAGAAGCACAAGGGGCCGGUGCGCGGGCUGGACUUCAGCGAGUUCAGGCCGCACAUGCUCGCGACUGGUGCUGACGACGGAGAGGUGAUCGUCUGGGAUCUGAAGAACCCUGCCAUGCCCGCCGUGUGUUGCCAGCUCAAGAUCCUGGAAUCCACGGCAUUCCCACAUUUUGGCAUCCACUUCUUAUAAUGGGAUCACAGGUAAAGCAUACUGUAUCUUGUUUGCCUGUUGAAAUUGUUCAGCAUUUACUCUAAUUCUUUUUUCUUAUAAUCUUUUAUCAAUUAUAGCUGUGUGGGACGUGGAUAGUAAGAGGCCGGUGAUUAAGUAAUUUUCUCUGCUGAUUGAGUUAUUCUCUAAUUGUUAUGUUUGUCAAUGCAAUAUUUACUUUUUAUUAACUUUGUAAUCCAUUCUCCAUUAUCUUAAAUAGCUUAUCUGAUUCCGAAAGCAAUUAGGGUUGCGUGGAAUAAUAGAUUGAAUUGAUAGGAGAUAGAGGUUACAAUAUAUAGGGGUGAGGAGAUCUUAGGGCUUAUAGAAACAGAGCCAGAUAAGAUCUCCUCCUUUCUCUAAUCAAUCAACAGGGCCGGUCGGGCUGAAAGCCAUGGGGCACAGGCUCGUAUACACGCAUACCAUAUAUCUGCUAACACGCCCCCUCAGUCGAAUCGUCGAUGCGUCGAACAUUCAGACUGGACCUGAACUUCGAGAAGACCGAAGAAGGCAGCCCCUUUGUGAAGACAUCAACAAACUGAGAAGUGGUGGGAACAUGAAGGACUCGCACUUCUCCAAGCGCAACACGCUCCCGAACGAAAUGAAGAUCGAUCUCCACAUGUUCGGUGCGCUGAUGCUGAACAGGGUUGGAGGACAUGUAGACCGUGCUGAUAUUGUCACAAUACACCAGGGUAGCCCGACGCAAUGGUGUGUGCAGCUCACCCAGUAGCUGACGUAGCCAUGUGGCCUCGUCAAUUGCGUUGGCGACAGCUCAAUACUCAGUCUCUGUACUAGAGCGGGAAACUGUAUUCUGACGCUUGGAAGACUAGAAGAUCAUGUUGUCGCUAAGAAACACAGCAUGGCCCGAGGUGAACUUGCGCGUGUCAGGACAGCCAGCCCCCUCAACAUCAGAGUAAACUAGACUUUUGCCAUUUUUAUGUACAUUAGUCAGGCUGACAUUUGCAUGACUGUAUUCUUCUGUUAAACUUCAGAAUUACUGUGUCACCAGUACCUAAUGAGCAACUCCCCAAAAAAAUAAUGAAUAAGGAUUGCUGCAUUCUAUGACUGCAGAUAGUAGGAUGCCUUUUUAUUGGAAACGUGUCUUUGUAAACAUAUUUGAUUUUCGGUGCCACUCUUCGUGGGUGUUGGCAGCUA